UACGGAGGGUGCAAGCAUUAAUCGGAAUUAUUGGGCGUAAAGGGCGCGUAGGCGGCUUCUUAAGUCAGGUGUGAAAUUCUGGAACUCAAUUCCAGAGCUGCACUUGAAACUGGGAGGCUAGAGGGUUUGCGGAGAAAACGGAAUUCCACAUGUAGCGGUGAAAUGCGUAGAUAUGUGGAAGAACAUCGGUGGCGAAGGCGGUUUUCUAGUGAAUACCUGACGCUGAGGCGCGAAAGCAAGGGGAGCAAACAGGAUUAGAUACCCUGGUAGUCCUUGCCGUAAACGAUGUGCACUUGAUGUAGCUGGGCUCAACCCUAGCUGUGUCGUAGCCAACGCGAUAAGUGCACCGCCUGGGAAGUAUGCCCGCAAGGGUGAAACUCAAAAGAAUUGACGGGGGCCCGCACAAGCAGUGGAGCAUGUGGUUUAAUUCGAUGCAACGCGAAGAACCUUACCCAGGUUGGAAAUGCGGAGGACCGGUACAGAGAUGUACUUUCCCGUAAGGGUCUCCGCACAGGUGCUGCAUGGCUGUCGUCAGCUCGUGCCGUGAGGUGUUGGGUUAAGUCCCGCAACGAGCGCAACCCUUAUCGUUAGUUGCCAACAAGUUAAGUUGGGGACUUUAACGAGACUGCCUAGGUUAACUAGGAGGAAGGUGAGGAUGAUGUCAAGUCCGCAUGGCCUUUAUGUCUGGGGCUACACACGUGCUACAAUGGUCGGUACAGAGGGCAGCAAGACCGCGAGGUGAGCAAAUCCCAAAAAGCCGAUCUCAGUUCGGAUUGUAGUCUGCAACUCGGCUACAUGAAGUUGGAAUUGCUAGUAAUGGCGUGUCAGCAACAACGCCGUGAAUACGUUCCCGGGCCU
rnacentral:rRNA from 1 species